CGUUGUGUUUAAUGGUAAAGCUUAGUACACCCCAGCACCAGGAAUGGCAUGGAGUCGCAGCAGCAGGGACGGACAGGUGGCCCCCAUGGAGCCUCACGUGGCGAAGAGGAUGAGGAAGGUGACCAUCAAACAGAAGAACCCCCCAUGGCCUCAGACAGGCCAACGCCCAGAAUGGCAUAGGAGAAGAGCUACUGCCUGAGAGAUGAGUGCCUGAGAGACGAGUGCCUGAGAGACGGGUUCCUGGCAUAGCCAAUGAUCAAGCUGCCAAACACAAUUCCAAUGCCAGUCCCUGAACCAGCCACACCAACUGUGGCUGCCUCAGCACCAAUAAAUUGGUUGCUGUGUCAAUGUCCCAGGAGACAACACUGGUCUGGAACUCCUGUCUGGCCACCUGGAGUGGGGAGCUGCUGUGGGAAGGCUGUUUAGAUGAACUCUCUGGGCUAUUCAAGAAGGAGGCAGACACAGGCCUGGUUAGACACCUGGUGCAACAGUGGAUCUGAGCCGGAGAAAUGAACAGUGCCCCAGUGGUCUGCAUUUUUUCAGUCUCCCAGCUUUAGCCCUUGGUCUCGGCGCCC
rnacentral:lncRNA from 1 species